rnacentral:lncRNA from 10 species
UUCUUUCCUGAAUCAAGGACAAUGCCAGGCUUUUGGGCGUGGAGGCCCUCUCUACAUGAAUUCCCAUAUGAGGCUCUUCUAUUUCAACAGCCUCCAAAUUGGAAUGUAUUUUGAAGCCCCCCAUACAGCCCCCUGUUGUCAUUGACCCUAAAUCUGCAGGCACAGGAAAUUGGUCCACACCCUGCUCUGUACGGCUGCCCUGCCCCCAGCAGGAAGUGGCUGGCUCAGGAGGUGGUGUCUCAGAUUCCAAGGCAGAAGUCACUGAGAAGUUGUUCAGUGACCAGGGUCAAGGGUUGGCCGUUUCUAAGGCUGAGUGUGGCAGAGGGCACCAGGAGCUUGUCUUGCUGGUGGAGCUGGGGAACCCCAGGACCCGUGCGCCUCAAACCUGGGCCAGGAGUGAGGAGCUGGCCUCCCCUAGGCUGAACUUGACUCACAGACCGGUUUGGUGUGGGCCAUCCAGUUGAAAGGAGUUGUCAAUGUUUAAUAUUUGCUAGGCUUCACAGAAAAUUUAAACUUGGAAUAUUUUUCUGAAAAUGUGGAUGAUCAGGACCAAGUUAUUCU